UUGAAGUGGGUUCCAUGUCACCAUCAUCAGCAGCAUCAUCCUCUAUUCAGCCAGGCUUUGGAAAAUAUCACUGAGGACACAUUCCAGUGCUGCUAGAUGUACAUAUGUCUGCCCAAUGUAACACCGACACCAUGGUCCAUGUCUGACUGCUGGACAGAACUGCAAGUGACACUCCCCUCUGCUGGCUAAUGUUGGUAACUGCAGCCCUUAUCAGCUCUAAUGUGUGCUGUCAAAUCUCUCUAUGUGGACCAGUACAAUUGAUGGCCCUGCAGAGUCCCACAUGGAACCAAGAG